UCCUCAGAAGCAAACACACAGUGAGAAGAACCGCCAAAGAAUCCCUGGACAGAAAAAAACCCAAAAAACAAAAAACGCAGAAAUAAACGUCUCUCCCUUGGAAUGAAAAGUCGGCCUUUCAAACCAGGUUGCUGGGAAGGUGUGUGUAUUUUCCUACUGUAUUAGGAUUUAACAAAGGACGGCGUCCAGCUUUUGAAUCCUUUGGCCCCAAAGACUUGCCUAAUCCCGGGCGCCGCAGGAAAGUUGAACGCGCUGGCUUUUGGUUUAGAAAGUCGUGGUCGGCCCAGAUGCGGCUUCUCUCCCUGAACGCAUGCAGACCUCCACCUUCCCGCCGCUGGGAUGAUCGACGGCUACAGGACGUUGCCGGCGUCAGAAGAAAAAUACCGCCAAGAAGGAAAUAAAGAAGCAGAAAAUGAGAACGGAGGUCAAGACGUGACUUCUUCAUGCAGGCUACUCACCGUCCCGUUGGUGCCACCGGGCUGCGUGCAGGAAGCUCUCGCAGUAAUGCAUCAGGAACUCGUGGCCCGAGUGCUGGGCUGUCCCCAGUAGCAAGGGCAGCAGGUCCUGGCCGUCAAUCACCCUACAGGCAGGAGCACAGGGACUCAGGGCGGGGCUGCUGGAAGGGGGGAGUGAGCCUGAACAAGCCCAGGGCAGCCCUGGGGCCGUCAGCAUACCGUCCGCCUGCACACAGCGCCUUUGGCUAAAAGAUCUUGGAGGGUCCAGCUCGCUCGGCUGAAGUAAUGGUCCACCCAGCCUUAUUCUGAAGGCACAAAUAGGAAGAAAAACUGGAAUCGGGCUUCCCUGGUGGUGCAGUGGUUAAGAAUCUGCCUGCCAAUGCAGGGGACACGGGUUCGAACCCUGGUCCGGGAAGAUCCCACAUGCCGCGGAGCAACUAAGCCCACAAGCCACGACUACUGAGCCCGCGAGCCACAACUGCUGAGCCCGCGUGCCCAGGGCCCGUGCUCCGCAACAAGAGAAGCCACCGCAAUGCGAAGCCCACGCACCAUAAAGAAGAGUAGCCCCCGCUCGCCACAACUAGAGAAAGCCCGCGUGCAGCAACGAAGACCCAACACAGCCAAAAAGAAAUAAAUAAAAUAAUAAAUAAAUAAGAAAAACUGGGAUCAUGAAAAGUUCCUACCACGCUACAUCAAAAGGAAUCACUUGUGAUGAAUCGUUAGUAAAUUCAUUGAUGCAUUUCAGUGACAAUCAUCCUUAAAAUCAAAUGGUUCCACUUAAGACUGAGGAGAAGAGAAGGACAUUUUGUGCAUAAAAUGAAGCAGACAUUGGAUCCCAGCAGAGAAUGAUGACCGUUUUUCCAGAUACUGAUCUCACGGAUGUUUUGUGCCAAACAAAAGUGACAGUGAUGUUUGACAUACGUGUUGGCUCUACACAAAACGCAACUGCCUUCUUUGGGCUGCUCUGUACCUGUCAUGGGGCACCUGGCCACCCCCCAGCUGGACCACAGUGGGGAAGACAUCCAUCAGGCUGGUGGGCUCGUGGAUCACGCGGCCAGCGGGCAGCACCCCGGGCCACCGGAGUAUCCCCGGGACCCGGAUCCCACCUUCCCAGCCGCCCAUGCCUUUGCCACCUGUGUUCAAACAUGAACAGGAAAGAAUGUGAUUGAAAAUCCAAAGUGGUUGCUUACCCGGGUGGUUUAACCUUUCCAUUUGUUUUAAAUCUCUCUUUCUCUCCCUCCCUCUUUAAUUACA